rnacentral:rRNA from 1 species
UGCGCAGCAGUCGCGAAAACUUCGCAAUGGGGGCAACCCCGACGAGGGAAUUCCAAGUGCCAGCACUUUGUGUUGGCUGUUCUCCUGUCUAAAAAACAGGAGGAGUAAGGGGCGGGUAAGACGGGUGCCAGCCGCCGCGGUAAUACCCGCGCCCCUAGUGGUGGUCGAUAUUAUUGAGCCUAAAACGUCCGUAGCCGGUCUUCUAAAUCCUUGGGUAAAUCGGGCAGCUUAACUGUCCGAAGUCCGGGGAGACUGGGAGACUUGGGACCGGGAGAGGUCAGAGGUACUUCUGGGGUAGGGGUAAAAUCCUGUAAUCCUGGAAGGACCACCGGUGGCGAAGGCGUCUGACUAGAACGGAUCCGACGGUGAGGGACGAAGCCCUGGGGCGCAAACGGGCUUAGAUACCCUGGUAGC